rnacentral:rRNA from 1 species
UGGGGAAUAUUGGACAAUGGGCGCAAGCCUGAUCCAGCAAUGCCGCGUGUGUGAAGAAGGCCUUCGGGUUGUAAAGCACUUUUAUCAGGAGCGAAACGCUGUCGGCUAAUACCCGGCGGAACUGACGGUACCUGAGGAAUAAGCACCGGCUAACUUCGUGCCAGCAGCCGCGGUAAUACGAAGGGUGCAAGCGUUAAUCGGAAUUACUGGGCGUAAAGCGUGCGUAGGCGGUUUCUUAAGUCUGCUGUGAAAUCCCCGGGCUCAACCUGGGAAUGGCAGUGGAUACUGGGAGGCUAGAGUGUGUCAGAGGGUGGUGGAAUUCCCGGUGUAGCGGUGAAAUGCGUAGAGAUCGGGAGGAACAUCAGUGGCGAAGGCGGCCACCUGGGACAACACUGACGCUGAGGCACGAAAGCGUGGGGAGCAAACAGGAUUAGAUACCCUGGUAGUCCACGCCCUAAACGAUGCGACUGGAUGUUGGUCUCAACUCGGAGAUCAGUGUCGAAGCUAACGCGUUAAGUUCGCCGCCUGGGGAGUACGGUCGCAAGAUUGAAAACUCAAAGGAAUUGAC